rnacentral:rRNA from 1 species
UACGUAGGGCGCAAGCGUUGUCCGGAAUUAUUGGGCGUAAAGAGCUCGUAGGCGGUCUGUCGCGUCUGUUGUGAAAACUCGAGGCUCAACCUCGGGCUUGCAGUGGAUACGGGCAGACUAGAGUGCGGAAGGGGCAACUGGAAUUCUUGGUGUAGCGGUGAAAUGCGUAGAUAUCAAGAGGAACACCUGCGGCGAAGGCGGGUUGCUGGGCCGACACUGACGCUGAUGCGCGAAAGCCAGGGGAGCGAACGGG